GGAAGCUUUUACUAAAUGGGUGACACCAAGAUGUGCUACACUGAACCCAACUUCUGCAUGUUUAAGACAAGACGCAAGGUCAAAAAUUUACAUCAGGUAUCUGAAUGUGUAGCAUAUACAACUGAGUGUUGAAAGAAGACAAAAUCGUUUUCAUCACGAAGAAUAUGUGCUCAGUAAGAAUCAGAAUGUUCAAUUGUGUGAAGGUGGGAGAUGGGAAGAUUGGUAUUAUGGCCUGGAUCCAGAAAUCAGUCUUCCACUAUAGGAAAUGGGAAUUUAAAGAUGAUCAGAAGACAGUUGGGAGCAGAGUGAGAAUAAGAACCCUCAACUGCUGUCUCACCUUUCAGAUCACGAAGAAGUUUUUUACAAUGAGCAGAACACUCAACCUGAAAGCAGAAUGGAUUGAGUCACUGCAGCGUGGCAGUGGAAUGGUGUUUGAUGUUGGCAAAGGAAACAUGUACUUCUAGACUGGACAGUUUUCCCUUAGUUUACAGUUUCCAAAUAGAGACAUCACUUUGAAAUAACAUGGAGAACAUACAUGGAUGUACUGAACGAAGAAUAAAGUCUGUGUUGCAGUCCUGUCUCCAUUGACUUUUACAAAUAUGGCUUUGGAUGAAUCACCUAAGUUUUAUUUUUGAGAAUUUACGCUUACCAUGUAUAAAAUGAUAUUGCUAAUAUGUUUGCUGCCUACCCCAUUGGGUUUUGUGAGGAAUAAAUGAUAAUGCUAAGAAAAAGGCA
rnacentral:lncRNA from 1 species